rnacentral:rRNA from 1 species
UACAGAGGUCUCAAGCGUUGUUCGGAUUCAUUGGGCGUAAAGGGUGUGUAGGUGGCGCCGUAAGUCGGGUGUGAAAUUUCGGAGCUUAACUCCGAAACUGCAUUCGAUACUGCGGUGCUUGAGGACUGGAGAGGAGACUGGGAAUUCAUGGGUGUAGCAGUGAAAUGCGUAGAGAUCAUGAGGAAGACCAGUGGCGAAGGCGGGGUCUCUGGACAGUUCCUGACACUGAGACACGAAGGCCAGGGGAGCAAACGGG